AACGAACGCUGGCGGCAGGCCUAACACAUGCAAGUCGAACGCCCCGCAAGGGGAGUGGCGCACGGGUGAGUAACGCGUGGGAAUAUGCCCUUCGGUUCGGAAUAACACAGGGAAACUUGUGCUAAUACCGGAUACGAUCUACGGAUGAAAGAUUUAUCGCCGAGGGAGUAGCCCGCGUAGGAUUAGCUAGUUGGUGAGGUAAUGGCUCACCAAGGCGACGAUCCUUAGGUGGUAUGAGAGGAUGAUCAGCCACACUGGGACUGGGACACGGCCCAGACUCCUACGGGAGGGAGCAGUGGGGAAUAUUGGACAAUGGGCGGAAGCCUGAUCCAGCCAUGCCACGUGGGUGAUGAAGGCCUUAGGGUUGUAAAGCUCUUUCGCCAGGGAAGAUAAUGACGGUACCUGGAAAAGAAGCCUCGGCUAACUCCGUGCCAGCAGCCGCGGUAA
rnacentral:rRNA from 1 species